AGGGAUCAUUUCGAUCUAUUAGGGAGGAGUUGUGCUGGCCCUUUUCUGGGCAUGUGCACGCUUCGCUCGAAAGCUUUCAAACCCCUGUGCACAUCUGUAGGGAAUGCGAGCGCCUGCGCUUGCUGACCCUAUGUUUUAUUAUAUACCCAUUGUAUGUCUCUGAAUGUCUAAACACCUUCUGUGCGCUGUAAAAGGCGUGCGGAUUGAAACUAUUAUAACUUUCAACAACGGAUCUCUUGGCUCUCGCAUCGAUGAAGAACGCAGCGAAAUGCGAUAAGUAAUGUGAAUUGCAGAAUUCAGUGAAUCAUCGAAUCUUUGAACGCACCUUGCGCUCCUUGGUAUUCCGAGGAGCAUGCCUGUUUGAGUGUCAUUAAAUUCUCAACCCUCUCGAUUUGCGUCGAGGGUGGCUUGGACUUGGAGGCUGCCGGCGUCUGUCGGCUCCUCUUAAAUGCAUUAGCGAAUUGAUAGCUUUGCGGUUGGUGUGAUAAUUAUCUACGCCUUCAAGCCGCUCUGUAGCUUCGCUUCUAACCGUCCUCGCGGACAACUUUAUCAUUGACUUUGACCUCAAAUCAGGUAGGACUACCCGCUGAACUUAAGCAUAUCAAU
rnacentral:rRNA from 1 species